rnacentral:tRNA from 1 species
GGGUGGUUGGCAUAGCGGCUCGUGCAGCGAACUUUUAAUUCGCACUAGAGAGGUUCGACUCCUCUACCGCCCA